rnacentral:lncRNA from 1 species
AUGCGUGCAGAGGUGAAUAUGUCUGUGAAGAUAAUCCCUCGUCAUGCACAAUCAUGUGAAAGCAUCAAGAAUGUCGAUGCUUUAGUAUGGUGUCGAUAUGAUCAAAUUAAACAACAGCAUUACUCAUGCUCAUGUCAUAACCUUGUCUAGCUAGCUCUAGUUGUCUAUGUUGAAAUGUUGGGGUCAGUUUUGGCUGCAUAUUGGGUCUUCUUUCUUUGUUAUAAAGGUUUUAUGUGAUACAAUAAGGUUGGUGAUCAUGUGGGAACAAUCUUUUAUUACAAGAGCUGUUAAGAUUUUUAAUAAAUUAAUAUAAGUGAUUUUAAAAGCUCCAUAAUCAUUGCUAUUUGUAUAUUGAUGGUGCGUCUCAGCAUCUCCUUUCCAUUCACUUUCCAUUUGCUUUCUUAAAUUUCUGACAGUAACUGGUCGAUGGCUUUUGUUUGUAAACGUUACCAAGCUUCGCUGUCAGAAAUUUAGGUGAUGCAUGAUCCAUUUAGAUAAUGGAAUGUGGACUGUCAUGAUCCUAUCAUUGUUCUUGGCGAUAUAUAAGAAUUCUCCCUUGAAUUUAUCACAGAAUCAUUGAAUUGAGCAGUUCCCUCCCUUCUCGUGAUUUGUUGACAUGGGAUUAUGUAAAGUUGUCGACUACGAAAUUUAUACGAGUUGCUCUCUAAACACUAAUAUUAUUGAUUAAAAGAGUGAAAUUCUUGUGCAAUUCACAAUAAAAAUUAAGGGAUUCCUAUUCUCACACGUUUUAAAUAAAUGUUUAAUGGGUUAGAAAAUUUAUCAUGUAAAUUCAAAGAUCCAGAUAUAUAUAUAUAUGAUAAAAUGAUAAUGUUUUGGUUAAAAAAAGUCUAUAAAAAUAUUAUUUUGAAUAAAAUUUUAAAAAAUUCAAGUAAUUUAUCAAGGUAUUAUUUAGGUUUAUCGAGCCAACAUCCACUCCAAUAAUAUAAAACCUGGUUCGAGCUAAAUUCUAGAUCAACUAUAUAUGGUUAUAUAAUCACAUUCUUAACGAUUUGUUUUGUAUUUAUUAGUAUAAAAAUUUUCAAUUUAUUUAAUUGGAUGAAUAAAUAUAAUAUAAAAACAUAUUUAUUAAUUUUUUCUACUAGAAAGAAUAAUAUUUGACCCGCAGAAAGCAAUAUGUGUUGCUUGCACAGCCCUGUUUUAGCCUCUGGGCUUCUUAGCCAGUCCUUGUAUAGCCAUGGAAAUGUUGGGCUAAUUAAUAUGCCCUUUAACACAUGGGCUAAGCUCUGUUAAUGAAACCCAGCAGAAAACAUAGAUAAUGGACUGGUCCAUGGCUUUCCUUGGAUUCUCUACUUUCAUGACGAGGCAACAAUUUCAAAUUAGAUUCAUGUGAUUCCUCUCAACAAUUCUGGAAAGCAAUAAUGAUUUUGCUGGGAUUUUUUUCGAAGUUUUUUAUAAAAUUAAAAAUUAAAAAUUAAAAAUAAUUAUUUUUUAAAAAAUGCAGCUGAACGCAAUUUCAAACGGUUAGUUAAACCUGCCUCAGCUUUCAAAGUUGGAAAUCAUAGACGCAACUUCCGGGCCCACAAUUUGCUAACUUUCUUCUUUAUGUCCACACAUAGGGAUAAGAUAAAACGAUGAGCUACUUGCUUUACGACUUGGGUUUCUAAUUUCUCAUUUUUCAUUUUCAUGGUAAAAUAAUAAAUACAAUUUCUUUUUUUCAGGAAACAACAAUCAAACGCCGGCUAAAUUCUUUUACACAUGAGAUAUGGAAAUAUUAACUGAAGAUUUUUAAUUUUUUAUGAGGAAUUUUUUGGGGCACGUGUACGGUUGUCAUGGGUGUUGCAUGGCUCAUUUAUUGACAUGACUAAACUAAGGCACCGUAGGAUGCACUGCAACCUUCGAAAUGAUUAAAAAAAUUGAAGGUGAGAUGUGCCAUCAAAACCAGCACAUGCAUGUGCAUGAUUGGAGGGUCAGCAAUUAAAAAUGAAACGACAAUAUUACGUCAAGCUCAACACCCAAUCCCACGUGUUCUCUUCUUAUUGGCCUCUAGACGCACGGUAUUUAAACUAUGUCCUCACACUUUACUACUUAAGCUGUGAUCAAUCUUCAUUUUAUAAGCCUCCUUUUUGUAUCACAAUCUCCCUCUCACCCUCUGGUCCGUUCCUUCACUCUGCUCUCAAUUCUAUCAUCUCAUCAGGUGCAGAUCAAAGCUCGGACAAAACCAUGGCUGAAAAGGUAUGUGCAUGGAUGGAUGGAUGUGGGGAUUUUGAUAUAUUUCCUUCUUCUUCUUUUCUUGGUUUCGAUUUAUCUUUUAUUUAGCCCAUUCAUGUGGGUUUUUCUUCUUUUUACGUGGUGUGGUCAUUGUUUUUGGCCCUAUGGACCUCAUCUUCUUUUUAAUUUUCUUUACUGAUCAAUAUCCUUCCAUGUCAGAAAGUGUUCCGGUCCUUUCAAUAUUCUUCCUGGCUUAGAAAUUAUGUCCUUGUGUUUAAUUAUGUGCUCAUAUUGCAGAAAGUCACAAUAAUGGUGAUCAAGGUUGACCUUGAAUGUGAGAAAUGCCACAAGAAAAUCAAGAAAGUACUGUGUAGGAUCCCUCGUGAGUGCCUCUUUCUCCAUUUACUAUAACUUAGUUUGAGCUGUUUUAAGAUGAAAGGAAAGUGGCUAAGUUGUUUUUGUGGAUUGUGAACAAGAGAAAUUCAGAGCCAGAUAUAUGACACGAAGGCAGGCACAGUGACCAUCACUGUGGUAUGUUGCAGUCCUGAAAAGAUCAAGGAAAAGAUAAUCUGUAAGGGAGGUGAAGCUGUCAAGAGCAUUGAGAUCAAGGUUCCAGAGAAACCCAAAGCAGCACCAGAGAAACCCAAACAACCGGAGAAGCCGAAAGAACCUGAGAAGCCUAAGCAACCAGAGAAGCCGAAAGAACCGGAGAAGCCGAAAGAACCGGAGAAGCCGAAAGAACCUGAGAAGCCCAAGCAACCAGAGAAGCCGAAAGAACCGGAGAAACCCAAAGAACCAGAGAAGGCCAAAGAACCGGAGAAGCCUAAAGCGCUUCUUGUUGAACAACCAAAACCCAAAGAACCGGCCCCAAACCCAGCUCCAAACCCGGCACCACCACCACCACCACCUAAAGCUCCGGAACCAGUCCACCCGAGGACAUGUUGUGCUGAAUGCUACCAUGGGAUUAGUGGAGGCCCAUGUUAUCAUGACUAUGGUGGGCCAGCACCCCCAAGUUAUGAAGCUUAUGGAAGGCCAGUGUAUGAUAAUUGGGGUGGCGGCGGCGGCGGCGGCGGCUGUGGUUGCCAAAGAAGCGGUUACUAUGUGUGCAGAUGCGAAUAUGUCUGUGAAGAUAAUCCCUCGUCAUGCUCAAUCAUGUGAAAGCGUCUAGAAUGUCGAUAUUGCCUUAAGCCGAUUUCCACCAAAAAUCACUGGAUUUGGACAGUAGUAUGGUGUCGAUAUGAUCAAAUCAAACAAUAGCAUUACUCAUGCUCAUGUCAUAACCUUGUCUAGCUAGUCAGUUUUGGCUGCAUAUUGGGUCUUCUUCCUUCGUUAUAGAGAUUUUAUGUGAUACAAUAAGGUUGGUGAUGUGGGAACAAUAUUUUAUUACAGGUUUACAAAUGUUAAGAUUUUUAAUAAAUUAACAAAAGGGAUUUUAAAGCUUCCAUAAUAAUCAUUGCUAUUUGUAUAUAUAGUGAUGGUGCAUCCCAGCAUCUCCUUUCCAUUCACUUUCCAUUUGCUUUCUUUAAUUUCUGACAGUAACUGAUCGAUGGCUUUUGUUUGCAAGCUUCGCUGUCAGAAAUUUAGGUGAUGCAUGAUCCAUCUAGAUAAUGGAAUGUGGACUGUCGUGAUUCCAUCAUUGUACUUGGCGAUAAGAAUUCUACCAUGAAUGAGCAGUUCCCUUCCCUCUCUUGAUUUGUUGAUAUGAGAUUUAUGUAAAGUUGCCGACUACGAAAUUUAUAUGAGUUGCUCUCUAAACACUAACAUUAUUGAAAAUAUAUUAAAAUAAAAUAUAUACUUUUUAUUUUUCAAAAUUCAUUCUUAUACCAAUAUAUCAAAACAAUCAAAAUAUAUAUAUAUAUAUAUAUAUAAGAUUUUUAAAAAAUACAGUUGAUCGUAAUUUCAAACGAUUAGUUAAACCUGCCUCCGCUUUCAAAGUUGGCACUCAUGGACGCAACUUCUGGGCCCACAAUUUGUUAUCUUUCUUCUUUAUGUCAACACAUAGGGAUGAGGGGAUAGCCAUCCCUAAUUUCUUAACGACUUGGGUUUCAUAUCAUUAUAAUUAUACAGAUUUUUGUCGUUUAGAUUACAUGAAGUAUUCCAUGGUGAUGAUAGGAAUUAGUAAUAAUUUAUUAAUUAUUUUAUAAGAUGUACUUUUUGAAAAAAUAUAAAUACAAGAGAGAGUAAUACAAAUAUCUCAACAUAUUAAUUAUUUUUUUCUUAUUAUCGUUAAAAUUAUGUGUUGUUAGUGUAGAACGGAGGAUAAAAAUAAGAAUAUAAAAUAAAUUGUUUUUGUAAUAAUUAAAAAAAAUUAUAUACUUUCAAAAUAAUAAAUAUAAUAAUUCAAGUUUUCUAUGUUUUAAUCACGAAACAACAAUCAAACACCGGCUAAAUUCUUUUAACAUGAGAUAUGGAAAUAUUAAUUGAAGAUUUUUAUUUUUUUAUGGGGAAUUUUUUGGGACACGUGUAAGGUUGUCAUGGGGUUUGCAUGGCUCGUUUAUGACAUGACUAUACUAAUGCACCGUAGGAUGCACUACAACCUUCGAAAUGAUUAACAAAAUUGAAGGUGAGACGUGUCCAUAAAAGCCAGCACAUGCACAUGCAGGAUUAGAGGGUCAGCAAUAAAAAAUAAAACGACAAUAUGACGUCAAGCUCAACACCCAACCCCACGUGUUCUCUUCUUAUUGGCCUCUAGAUGCACGGUAUUUAAAACAUGGUCUCACACUUCUACUACUUAAGUUGUGAUCAAUCUUAAUUUUACAAGCGUCUUUUUUGUGUCUCAAAUCUCCCUCUCACCCUCUGGUCGGUUCCUUCACUCUGCUCUCAAUUCUAUCAUCUCAUCAGGUCCAGAUCAAAGCUUAGACAAAACCAUGGCUGAAAAGGUAUGUGCAUGGAUGGAUGUGGAUAUUUUGAUAUAUUUUCCUUCUUCUCUUGGUUUAGAUUUAUCUUUUAUUAAUUAGCCCAUUCAUGUGGGUUUUUCUUCUUUUCAUGUGGUGAUCAUUGUCUUUGGCCCUAUGGAGUAUGGACCUCAUCUUCUUGUUCAUCAUCUUUACUGAUCAAUAUCCUUCCAUGUCAGAAAGUGUUCCGGUCCUUUCAAUAUUCUUCUUGGCUUAGAAUGUCCUUGUUUUUAUGUGCUCCUAUUGCAGAAAGUCACAAUAAUGGUGAUCAAGGUUGACCUUGAAUGUGAGAAAUGCCAAAAGAAAAUCAAGAAAGUACUGUGUAGAAUCCCUCGUGAGUGCCUCUUUCUCCAUGUAUCAUAACUUAGUUUGACUUGAAUUUUAAGAUGAAAGGAAAGUGGCUAAGUUGUUUUUGUGGAUUGUGAACAAGAGAAAUUCAGAGCCAGAUAUAUGACAAGAAGGCAGGCACAGUGACCAUCACUGUGGUAUGUUGCAGUCCUGAAAAGAUCAAGGAAAAGAUAAUCUGUAAGGGAGGUGAAGCUGUCCAGUGCAUUAAGAUCAAGGUUCCAGAGAUACCCAAAGAACCACCAGCUAAACCUAAAGAACCGGAGAAGCCAAAAGAACCUGAAAACCCUAAGCAACCGGAGAAUCCCAAAGAACCGGAGAAGCCCAAAGAACCAGAGAAACCCAAAGAACCGGAGAAACCCAAAGAACCGGAGAAACCCAAAGAACCGGAGAAACCGGCAGAACCAGUCCACCCAAGGACAUGUUGUACUGAAUGCUACCAUGGGAUCAGUGGAGGCCCAUGUUAUCAUGACUAUAGGAGGCCAGCACCCGCCCCAAUCCCAGCUCCAAUCCCGGCACCACCACCACCUAAAGCUCCGGAAGUAGUCCACCCAAGGACAUGUUGUUCUGAAUGCUACCAUGGGAUUAGCGGAGGCCCGUGUUAUCAUGACUUUAGGAGGCCAGCACCCGCCCUAAUCCCAGCUCCAAACCCGGCACCACCACCACCUAAAGCUCCGGAACCAGUCCACCCAAGGACAUGUUGUGCUGAAUGCUACCAUGGGAUUAGCGGAGGCCCAUGUUAUCAAGACUAUGGUAGGCCAGCACCCCCAUGUUAUGAAGGUUAUGGAAGGCCAGUGUAUGAUAGUUGGUCUGGCGGCGGCGGCGGCUGCGGUUGCCAAAGAAGCGGUUACUAUGUGUGUAGAUGUGAAUAUGUCUGUGAAGAUAAUCCCUCGUCAUGCUCAAUCAUGUGAAAGCAUCUAGAAUGUCGAUAUUGCCUUAAGCCGAUUUCCACCAAAACUCACUGGGUUUGGACAUUAUUAUUGAGUCGAUAUGAUCAAAUUAAACAAUAGCAUUACUUAUGCUCAUGUCAUAACCUUGUCUAGCUAGCUAUUUGUCUAUGUUGAAAUGUUGGGGUUAGUUUUGGCUGCAUUUUGGGUCUUCUUCCUUCGUGAUAAAGAUUUUAUUACAAGAUUUGUUAAGAUUUUUAAUAUAUUAAUAUAAGGGAUCUUAAAGCUUCCAUAAUCAUUGCUAUUUGUAUAGUGAUAGUGCAUCUCAGCAUCUCCUUUGCCUUCAAUUUCUAUUUGCUCUCUUUAAUUUCUGAC